AGACAUUGAAAGUGCAUAUUAAUGGUUACAAUUGGAAGACAUUAAAAAUAGUGGAAGACGUUGGAAAUAGGCUGGUAGUGAUUUAUGGGUACAUCCAACGUCUCCCACUGGGAGACGUGCCACGUGUCCCACGUCUCCCAGUGGGAGACGUUGGAUGUCUCCACUUAUAAAUCACUACCAGCCUUCUUCUUCCUCACACGAACCCGAGAGCAAACCAGAGAGAAGAAUUGGGCGAUUUGGGGCUGCGUUUUUAGGGUUCUAAGGUUGUGAUUUUUGUGGUGAGAUUUUAGAGAGUAUUUUGCAUCAAAAUUCCAAUAUCAAUCACACAUUUGAGCGAAUUUGAUUACUAAGUGAAGUAACUUUGCUAGCUUUUGGAUUAAAGAUUGCAAGAGAAGAAUAUAUGGAUAAACAGUGGAUGUCAGCAAAUAGGUUAUCUGCGGAAUUUAGGAACGGG